AAUAGUUGUGAACCCACCUCCUCUUUUUAUCUCAAAACCCUUUUGCUCAAAUCACCCAAAUCGCCAUCAUAACGAUCUACCAGAGAGUGCGUGAAACAUCAUUUGAAAGAUGUUGGAGUUCAAAAUGGCAUCAUUAUUGGAAAAGGAACUUGGGAGGUCGAUAACUCAGGCUGAGACAUUCAAGGCUACACACACUAGGAAGAAAAUCUCGGGAUAUGUUCAAUGAAGAGGUGCGAUAGAGGAGCACAACAAUAAUGAGGAUGAUCAUUUGGCAAACAUAUUAUCGUACUGUUAAAGUCUAGUGUUGCAUUAGACAUCUAAAUUAUGUACUUUG